GUGAUGAUGAGUGGCUUCGCCUUUAUCUUUGUCUUCAGUCUACUUUUUUUAAUUUCAAUUUUCUUUAUUCAUUGGGAAAUGGUAUGGUACUCAGACGCGAAUGCAGAUUUUCAUUCAAGACCAAUGGUGUGUGGUCGUUCCUAGUUAAGUUAUCUUGCCGUCAUCUCGUUGGAAUCAGAUGGUUGAGUCUGAGUCGAUAGCAAGGCCUACAAAUCGCGGUGGAUCCCGUUGGAGAUUCUUGCCUAAUUGCAUGUGCGUGUACUCUGUGUGCAUGUGCGAUAUGUACGCAGUCGUGCCACGUAUCGGAGCAUGAACCUGCACCACUUCGAACGGAAUCUUAUCAGACUGUGAACAGAAACAGCUGGAGCAAUCCAUGCAUUGCAGGAUGAAUUAUGAGACUUCUGUGAGUGGAUAACAUCGAAAAGCCCCU
rnacentral:sRNA from 1 species